UGCUGAGGACAUUGUUUGUGAACCUAAAAAUCACACAAUAAAAUUUUUGGAUUAAUCAACAAAAGAAGAGGCUCAUGCCCAUUUAUAGGUCCAAGAGAAACAGCUAAACAUGGACAAAAUAUGUUUAACACCAAGCAUCGUGACUAUGCUUAAAUCUUAAAAUGUCCACCACAAAUUUCACUUCUUCAAGCAAAUGUGGAGGUGUUGUAUUAGUUUGGGGAGAACCUAACAUACAACAUGUCCAAUACCACAGCAAAAGGUACAAAAUAGUUCAUGCAGGAAAUUUAGACUAAUGAUAGAUAUUAUAGAAAAUGGCACGUGCCCAAAGGAAAGAAAAUAGUAAAAAAAAUGCCAAUGAAUCAAUGAUUGUUAUGCAUAAUUUUUCAGAUACAUGAAUAGAAAGAAUAAAUACAAACAAUAAAAUGGCAAACAUAAAAAUUUACUAUUUUUGUUAAUGAAUACCACAAUAAAAGAAGUAUUGUCAGAAACAUAAGCCCAGAUGACAUCAAUUAAACUUGCAGAUACAACACACAUAUAAAUUCAAUUAAUGUCAAUGAUAUUGCUGAUGAGAAACCAACCAGUAAAUAGACAAUCCUGA
rnacentral:misc_RNA from 1 species